CCUACGGGUGGCAGCAGUGAGGAAUAUUGGUCAAUGGGAGAGAUCCUGAACCAGCCAAGCCGCGUGAGGGAAGACAGCCCUAUGGGUUGUAAACCUCUUUUGUCGGAGAACAAAACCCAGGAUGUGUCCCGGACUGCGUGUGUCCGAAUAAAAAGCAUCGGCUAACUCCGUGCCAGCAGCCGCGGUAAUACGUAGGGGGCAAGCGUUAUCCGGAUUUACUGGGGGUAAAGGGAGCGUAGACGGGUGUGCAAGUCUGAAGUGAAAGCCCGUGGCUCAACCGCGGAACUGCUUUGGAAACUGUAUAGCUUGAGUACUGGAGAGGCAGGCGGAAUUCCUAGUGUAGCGGUGAAAUGCGUAGAUAUUAGGAGGAACACCAGUGGCGAAGGCGGACUGCUGGACAGAAACUGACGCUCAUGCACGAAAGCGUGGGUAUCGAACAGGAUUAGAUACCCGAGUAGUC
rnacentral:rRNA from 1 species